AGUAGCGCACGGGUGCGUAACACGUAUGCAACCUACCUAUAACUGGGGGAUAGCCUCCCGAAAGGGAGAUUAAUACCGCAUAAUAUUAUUGAGUGGCAUCACUUGAUAAUUAAACCUCAGGGGGUUAUAGAUGGGCAUGCGUCCGAUUAGCUAGUUGGUGAGGUAACGGCUCACCAAGGCUACGAUCGGUAGGGGGUCUGAGAGGAUGAUCCCCCACACUGGUACUGAGACACGGACCAGACUCCUACGGGAGGCAGCAGUAAGGAAUAUUGGACAAUGGGCGCAAGCCUGAUCCAGCCAUGCCGCGUGAAGGAUGAAGGCCCUAUGGGUCGUAAACUUCUUUUAAACGGGACGAAACCCCUCGACGUGUCGAGGGCUGACGGUACCGUAAGAAUAAGGGUCGGCUAACUUCGUGCCAGCAGCCGCGGUAAUACGAAGGACCCGAGCGUUAUCCGGAUUUAUUGGGUUUAAAGGGUGCGUAGGCGGACCUAUAAGUCAGUGGUGAAAGCCCAUCGCUCAACGAUGGAAUUGCCAUUGAUACUGUAGGUCUUGAGUAUAGUUGAGGUGGGCGGAAUGUGUCAUGUAGCGGUGAAAUGCUUAGAUAUGACACAGAACACCUAUUGCGAAGGCAGCUCGCUAAGCUAUAACUGACGCUGAGGCACGAAAGUGUGGGUAGCAAACAGGAUUAGAUACCCUGGUA
rnacentral:rRNA from 1 species